rnacentral:rRNA from 1 species
UGGGGAAUUUUGGACAAUGGGCGAAAGCCUGGUCCAGCAAUGCCGCGUGUGUGAAGAAGGCCUUCGGGUUGUAAAGCACUUUUGUCCGGAAAGAAAUCCUUGGCUCUAAUACAGUCGGGGGAUGACGGUACCGGAAGAAUAAGCACCGGCUAACUACGUGCCAGCAGCCGCGGUAAUACGUAGGGUGCAAGCGUUAAUCGGAAUUACUGGGCGUAAAGCGUGCGCAGGCGGUUUGCUAAGACCGAUGUGAAAUCCCCGGGCUCAACCUGGGAACUGCAUUGGUGACUGGCAGGCUAGAGUAUGGCAGAGGGGGGUAGAAUUCCACGUGUAGCAGUGAAAUGCGUAGAGAUGUGGAGGAAUACCGAUGGCGAAGGCAGCCCCCUGGGCCAAUACUGACGCUCAUGCACGAAAGCGUGGGGAGCAAACAGGAUUAGAUACCCUGGUAGUCCACGCCCUAAACGAUGUCAACUAGUUGUUGGGGAUUCAUUUCCUUAGUAACGUAGCUAACGCGUGAAGUUGACCGCCUGGGGAGUACGGUCGCAAGAUUAAAACUCAAAGGAAUUGACGGGGUCAUAGCUGUUUCCU